rnacentral:rRNA from 1 species
AACGUAGGAGACGAACGUUAUCCGGAGUUAAUGGGAGUAAAGGGGGUGUAGGCGGUUUGUUAAGUAUGGCGUGAAAGCUCUCGGCUAAACCGGGAGAGGUCGUUGGAUACUGGCGAACUAGAGGAUGGUAGAGGCGUGUGGAAUUCCGGGUGUAGUGGUGAAAUGCGUAGAUAUUGGGAGGAAAACCAGUGGAGAAGGCGGCUCACUGGACCGGAACUGACGCUGAGGCGCGAAAGCGUGGGGAGCAAACAGG